AAGCCAUAACAUGUUGGGUUACAAGUAGUUCUCGACUGAAAACCCAUUUAUUUAGCAAUUGUUUGAGUUACAAGGGCCCUGGAAAAAGUGAUUUACGACUAGUUCUCAUAUGGCCUCCUAAACAUCUCCAUGGUCAAAUUUGAGUGCUUGGCAACCGGCACGUAUUUAUGUUGGUUGCAGCAUCUCAAGGUCUUGUGCUCACCAUUUUGUGACCUUACCAGCUGGCCUCUGACAAGCAAAGUCAAUGGGGAAAGCUGGAUUAGCUCAACAGCCAAAUGAUUCAUUUAAUAACUGCAGGGAUUUGCGUAUAACCAUGGCAACAUGGUUGUAAAAUUGAGGCACAAAUCACUUAACAACUGUCUUAGCAACUGAACCUCUGGUCCCAAUUGUGGUAGUAAGCCAAGGACUACCUGUACUUGAAUGUGGAUUCAGGAUUAGUGAAAUGGAAGAGUUUUCCUUCUUUUCCUUUUGGUAAUCUCAAGAUGGCAGUCUACACUAAAUGGAGUGUAAUGUGGUGAAUUAAUGUAUGAAUCGAGGCUAUUCUGAUAAUCUGUUGAGAAAAUACUUUGGAUAGGUGUGCUAGAAAGCCUCAGCCAAUCAGACUAAGUAAAAUUAGGGGCAUGACUCUCAAGGUUUGAGUCUGAGAUUUUUCACCUUUGACCUCUUAUCUUCUGCAAUGGGUCCUAUUUCGUGAGAAGGAAUGUUAAAGACAGUUGCUCUGUUGUACUUGUCCAUUUGUAUUCAGCUAAAAUGCAUUCAAGCUGUCUUGUUUCUGAGGUUUACUUUCUUUAACUCAUUUGCAGGACAAUUUGUUCAUGCAGGCAACAUAUUGGCCACUCAGCGUGUGUUUCGGUGGCAUCCGGGAGCUCACGUGGGGAUGGGAUACAACAAAUGGUUGUAUGCUCUUGAAGAUGGAAUUGUGAGGUUCACCAAAGAAAUCUACGUACCGCCUCCCCGUAGCAAGGAAAGCCGAGAAGUGAUCUGCCGGUUGCCCAAAGGAUCUGUGCUGUAUAAAACUUUCAUCAAUGUUGUUCCUACCGAAGAAGUGGGGAGGUUUAAGUUGAUCACCAUGAUCUGAGAGCUAGCGCUGAAUGGCUUUUGGUUAGUCCUCUGCAGCUGGGAACGAAACAAUAUUUGCAGCAUCUACAGCAUAUCAUAGAGACAUGUUCUUAACACACACCUCUGAUGUGUGCUGCUGAAAUAAAGAUUGAUAAGUGUUUCUUUCCAAAACACAACAGUAAUACGACUGCUGCUCAUUUCAGCGGAACCAUCUCAAGCCAAUUCUUUAUUCUUGGGGUAAAAGCAGAUGCUGGAGUGGUGACUGGUCUUGCCGCUAUUAAAAAAAACAACACGUCCUGAAUAUACAACAUUGAAAUUCCAGUCCUUGGAUACAUUUCUUUGUCACUGUGACCAACUGAAGAAGGAAAAAGCAGGUGACCUAGGAUGUAGGCCACAGCAUAGCAUAGGCAAUCAAGAUUAUAGAUGGGAUGGGAUGCAAUUGCAUGGCAAAGUGUAUGUGUUUCGGCCUGCUUUCACCCAUGAAAUCUGAAAACUUAAAUGCCUGUGCCUCCAGGUAGCCACAUACAGUUCUAGUGCACAGUUGACAACCUUCCUUGACCAUUAGCAACAUUUCCUGGGGCCUAAGAAUUUAAGAGUUUAAACAUCUGAAGAGUGCAAGAGUGCCUGUUCCCUUCUAAAUCACAUACAUUAUUCAGUCAGUCUUCAUCUUUCAUUGACCGCCUGCUUUUUUUUAGAUUGAAAAAAAAUAUUGUAAAUUUAGGGCUUGUCUUCACUGGGAAAAUUGUCAAAUCACCCUGCACUGUACACCGUUAGAAUAUGAAAUGCAAUAAUGCUAGAUUUCAUGUGCAUUUACCGGCAUGAUUUUUUUUUCAUGUUUCAUUGACAAAUGCAUAUCCCACUGAUCCCAAAGAAACCAGCCACAUUUUGACUUUGGGUAUUUUGGGACCUCAGUCAAUGAAUGCCACAGAUAACCCCAGAUGAGGCAAGUUGCAGAUUUGCUUCUCCCUUUUAAGAUCUGAUGUAAAAAUGAGUCUGACUUGACUUCACAUAUCCCACCAAGCCAAAAUGGGAUGAUUCAAUAGGUCACGGUGACUGGCUUCCUAUUGCAAUUUGAGUCGAAACUCUUUUAUAGCUUAAUGCAAUGUGUGAAACUAGCAAACUGGAGGCCCAUUGGUGCUAGCAACAGAGCACUUCCUAAUCGCCGUCAUUUCCUUCUGUUUUUUUUAUCUGCAGAUACGUAGCCAUAGUUCUAACUAAAGUUUAAGUAAAUCAUUCAACAGGCUAUGGAACUCAAGACAGUAAUUAGCUGUAUAAAUACAGCAUGCUAAGCUACAGUGUGAUUUCUUUGGUUUUGCCUAACUGGGGCAUGGGCUGUCCAACAAACCAUGGAUAAACUGGUUUCAUGCAAUGCAUGAACCUAGCUGUUAAGUUAAAGGAAAGCCUGCUUGCCUUUAAACAUGAAAAGACAGUAUAGUACAAAUAAGGUGUUAAAGAGAGGGGGGAUAGGAGCAAAGAAAUAUAAAUUUACUGCAGCUAUCUCUUUAUGGGUUAGCCAUAUCGAGUGUUACAUUAACUGUCCUUAAAAUAAAACCUGAACACAAAUAUACCUCACAUUCCUUCUUUUCAAUCUCACAGACAGGAAAGAGUAAAUAAGUAACUGCAUUCUGGUAACUUACAUGUUAAGACUGUAGAAGCGAUCCCAGGCAUUUCCCAAUUAGAUUAAUUUUCAAUGAUAGCAUUAGGAACAUU